GUGAGGAAUUUUCCGCAAUGGGCGAAAGCCUGACGGAGCAAUGCCGCGUGAAGGAUGAAGGCCUAUGGGUUGUAAACUUCUUUUCUCAGAAAAGAAUUAUGACGGUAUCUGAGGAAUAAGCAUCGGCUAACUCUGUGCCAGCAGCCGCGGUAAGACAGAGGAUGCAAGCGUUAUCCGGAAUGAUUGGGCGUAAAGCGUCUGUAGGUUGUUUAAAAAGUAUUCUGUCAAAGAUUAGGGCUUAACCCUAGAUAGGCAGAAUAAACUUUUAAGCUAGAGUUUGGUAGAGGCAGAGGGAAUUCCCGGUGGAGCGGUGAAAUGCGUAGAUAUCGGGAGGAACACCAAAGGCGAAGGCACUCUGCUGGGCCAAUACUAACACUGAGAGACGAAAGCGAGGAGAGCAAAUGGGAUUAGAUACCCUAGUAGUCC
rnacentral:rRNA from 1 species